rnacentral:lncRNA from 1 species
CCCAAGCAUUGCCUUAUUUUGUUUCCCCAUGAAACACUAUUCUGCCUAAUAAUGCCAAUUACUUUGAACUUACUAGUUUGACCAUAAUUUUUCUUUUUUUUUUUUAAUUUUUUUUUCAAUGUUUAUUUAUUUUUGGGACAGAGAGAGACAGAGCAUGAACGGGUGAGGGGCAGAGAGAAAGGGAGACACAGAAUCGGAAACAGGCUCCAGGCUCUGAGCCAUCAGCCCAGAGCCCGACGCGGGGCUCGAGCUCAUGGACCGCGAGAUCGUGACCUGGCUGAAGUCGGACGCUUAACCGACUGCGCCGCCCAGGCGCCCCUGACCAUAGUUUUUCAACCCUGUAUACAUAUAGGAAUCACUUGGGAGAAAUUUUAAAAAUAUAGAUACUUGAGACUCAUGCCAUUCCAACAGAAUUCAAAUCUCAAAAUUGGAAAGUACACUAAAAACAUCUCCACAAGUUAUUGUGAUAAGCCAACAUGGUUUAAAACCACGAGUUUAUACCCUUGACUCAACCACCAAGGUGUAUGACUUUUUGCAAGGACGAGAGGAAAUCAGGUACAGUAUCCAGCCACCUGCUCCAUCUGAUAUAUUUCUCUCCUGACCUGAGCUACUUUCACUUGGAUACUCGAAAGAUGUUGAAUGGAGAGACAAAGGAAGCCCUUUUUUGCCAAACGUUUACUGACUACCUACACUAAGCAGAGGAUUUGCUGAGUUUUAGAAAUACAGUCAAAUGGAACUACCCAUUCAUUUUACUGACUCCCCUCUCUGCUUUCAGUCUUGCUUGAUGACAGAUGUGUCCCAUGGAAUUCAAGUUUGUGCCAAAGGGAAGACCCUUCUGAAGCCAAACCAUUUUUGUGACUAUCUUGUUACCUGUUGUCUUCCACCUGUUGUUAGGUAGUCUCUUUUAGCCUAUAACUAAAGAGCCUUGAGAUCAUCCUUCUUUGCUCAGGCCCAGCCUGCUACCAAAUGUGCUCUAACUACUUACCUAGGUAAGUACAUCUCCUUCCCCAACUCCAUCAUUUGUGUGACAGGAAUUCACUUACAUUUGUGAAGUAAACAUAAAC